rnacentral:rRNA from 1 species
GAGAGAACUCUGGUGAAGGAACUAGGCAAAAUAGUACCGUAACUUCGGGAGAAGGUACGCCCCUAGUACGUGAAGGCCCUGCGGCCGGAGCGGACGGGGGUUGCAGCGACCAGGUGGCUGCGACUGUUUACUAAAAACACAGCACUCUGCAAACGCGUAAGCGGACGUAUAGGGUGUGACGCCUGCCCGGUGCCGGAAGGUUAAGUGAUGGGGUUAGCCGCAAGGCGAAGCUCUUGAUCGAAGUCCCGGUAAACGGCGGCCGUAACUAUAACGGUCCUAAGGUAGCGAAAUUCCUUGUCGGGUAAGUUCCGACCUGCACGAAUGGCGUAACGAUGGCCACGCUGUCUCCACCAGAGACUCAGUGAAAUUGAAAUCUCGGUUAAGAUGCCGAGUACCCGCGGCUAGACGGAAAGACCCCGUGAACCUUUACUAUAGCUUCACACGGGACUUUGAAUCGACUUGUGUAGGAUAGGUGGGAGGCUAAGAAGCCCGGACGCCAGUUCGGGUGGAGCCACCCUUGAAAUACCACCAUGGUCGAUUUGAAGUUCUAACCCAGACCCGUGAUCCGGGUCGGGGACAGUGUGUGGUGGGUAGUUUGACUGGGGCGGUCUCCUCCCAAAGAGUAACGGAGGAGCACGAAGGUACCCUCAGCGCGGUCGGAAAUCGCGCAGUGAGUGCAAAGGCAUAAGGGUGCUUGACUGCGAGACAGACACGUCGAGCAGGUACGAAAGUAGGUCUUAGUGAUCCGGUGGUUCUGUAUGGAAGGGCCAUCGCUCAACGGAUAAAAGGUACUCCGGGGAUAACAGGCUGAUACCGCCCAAGAGUUCAUAUCGACGGCGGUGUUUGGCACCUCGAUGUCGGCUCAUCACAUCCUGGGGCUGAAGUCGGUCCCAAGGGUAUGGCUGUUCGCCAUUUAAAGUGGUACGCGAGCUGGGUUUAGAACGUCGUGAGACAGUUCGGUCCCUAUCUGCCGUGGGCGUUGGAGACUUGCGGGAAGCUGCUCCUAGUACGAGAGGACCGGAGUGGACGUACCCCUGGUGUUCCGGUUGUCACGCCAGUGGCAUUGCCGGGUAGCUACGUACGGACGGGAUAACCGCUGAAAGUAUCUAAGCGGGAAGCCCCUCCCAAGAUGAGGUCUCCCUGGACCCUUGAGGUCCCUGAAGGUCCGUCACAGACUAUGACGUGGAUAGGCGGGAUGUGGAAGCGCGGUAACGCGUGCAGCUAACCCGUACUAAUUGACCGUGCGGCUUGACCC